rnacentral:rRNA from 1 species
GGCGAACCGAGCGAACGUUGUUCGGAAUCACUGGGCUUAAAGGGCGCGUAGGCGGGCUGCCGAGUCCGGGGUGAAAGCCCCCCGCUCAACGGGGGAACGGCCUCGGAUACUGGCGGCCUGGAGGCGGGUAGGGGCGUGCGGAACUGUGGGUGGAGCGGUGAAAUGCGUUGAGAUCCACAGGAACUCCGGUGGCGAAGGCGGCACGCUGGACCCGAACUGACGCUGAGGCGCGAAAGCCAGGGGGAGCGAACAGG